CCUACGGGUGGCAGCAGUGGGGGAUAUUGCACAAUGGGGGAAACCCUGAUGCAGCGACGCCGCGUGGGUGAAGAAGCGCCUCGGCGCGUAAAGCCCUGUCAGCAGGGAAGAAAAUGACGGUACCUGAAGAAGAAGCCCCGGCUAACUACGUGCCAGCAGCCGCGGUAAUACGUAGGGGGCAAGCGUUAUCCGGAUUUACUGGGUGUAAAGGGGGCGCAGACGGGGAUGCAAGCCCGGAGUGAAAGGCCGGGGCCAAACCCCGGGACUGCUCUUGGAACUGCGGGGCUAGAGUGCAGGAGGGGCAGGCGGAAUGCCUGGUGUAGCGGUGAAAUGCGUAGAUAUCAGGAGGAACACCGGUGGCGAAGGCGGCCUGCUGGACUGCAACUGACGUUGAGGCCCGAAAGCGUGGGGAGCAAACAGGAUUAGAUACCCCUGUAGUC
rnacentral:rRNA from 1 species